AGCGCAUACGGUGGAUGCCUUGGCAGUCAGAGGCGAUGAAAGACGUGGUAGCCUGCGAUAAGCUUCGGGGAGUCGGCAAACAGACUUUGAUCCGGAGAUCUCUGAAUGGGGGAACCCACCUAGGAUAACCUAGGUAUCUUGUACUGAAUCCAUAGGUGCAAGAGGCGAACCAGGGGAACUGAAACAUCUAAGUACCCUGAGGAAAAGAAAUCAACCGAGAUUCCCUUAGUAGUGGCGAGCGAACGGGGAUUAGCCCUUAAGCUUCAUUGAUUUUAGCGGAACGCUCUGGAAAGUGCGGCCAUAGUGGGUGAUAGCCCCGUACGCGAAAGGAUCUUUGAAGUGAAAUCGAGUAGGACGGAGCACGAGAAACUUUGUCUGAACAUGGGGGGACCAUCCUCCAAGGCUAAAUACUACUGACUGACCGAUAGUGAACCAGUACCGUGAGGGAAAGGCGAAAAGAACCCCGGAGAGGGGAGUGAAAUAGAACCUGAAACCGUAUGCGUACAAGCAGUGGGAGCCUACUUGUUAGGUGACUGCGUACCUUUUGUAUAAUGGGUCAGCGACUUAUAUUCAGUGGCGAGCUUAACCGAAUAGGGUAGGCGUAGCGAAAGCGAGUCUUAAUAGGGCGUUUAGUCGCUGGGUAUAGACCCGAAACCGGGCGAUCUAUCCAUGAGCAGGUUGAAGGUUAGGUAACACUGACUGGAGGACCGAACCCACUCCCGUUGAAAAGGUAGGGGAUGACUUGUGGAUCGGAGUGAAAGGCUAAUCAAGCUCGGAGAUAGCUGGUUCUCCUCGAAAGCUAUUUAGGUAGCGCCUCAUGUAUCACUCUGGGGGGUAGAGCACUGUUUCGGCUAGGGGGUCAUCCCGACUUACCAAACCGAUGCAAACUCCGAAUACCCAGAAGUGCCGAGCAUGGGAGACACACGGCGGGUGCUAACGUCCGUCGUGAAAAGGGAAACAACCCAGACCGCCAGCUAAGGUCCCAAAGUUGUGGUUAAGUGGUAAACGAUGUGGGAAGGCUUAGACAGCUAGGAGGUUGGCUUAGAAGCAGCCAUCCUUUAAAGAAAGCGUAAUAGCUCACUAGUCGAGUCGGCCUGCGCGGAAGAUGUAACGGGGCUCAAACCACACACCGAAGCUGCGGGUGUCACGUAAGUGACGCGGUAGAGGAGCGUUCUGUAAGCCUGUGAAGGUGAGUUGAGAAGCUUGCUGGAGGUAUCAGAAGUGCGAAUGCUGACAUGAGUAACGACAAUGGGUGUGAAAAACACCCACGCCGAAAGACCAAGGGUUCCUGCGCAACGUUAAUCGACGCAGGGUUAGUCGGUUCCUAAGGCGAGGCUGAAAAGCGUAGUCGAUGGGAAACAGGUUAAUAUUCCUGUACUUCUGGUUACUGCGAUGGAGGGACGGAGAAGGCUAGGCCAGCUUGGCGUUGGUUGUCCAAGUUUAAGGUGGUAGGCUGAAAUCUUAGGUAAAUCCGGGGUUUCAAGGCCGAGAGCUGAUGACGAGUCGUCUUUUAGAUGACGAAGUGGUUGAUGCCAUGCUUCCAAGAAAAGCUUCUAAGCUUCAGGUAACCAGGAACCGUACCCCAAACCGACACAGGUGGUCGGGUAGAGAAUACCAAGGCGCUUGAGAGAACUCGGGUGAAGGAACUAGGCAAAAUGGCACCGUAACUUCGGGAGAAGGUGCGCCGGCUAGGGUGAAGGAUUUACUCCGUAAGCUCUGGCUGGUCGAAGAUACCAGGCCGCUGCGACUGUUUAUUAAAAACACAGCACUCUGCAAACACGAAAGUGGACGUAUAGGGUGUGACGCCUGCCCGGUGCCGGAAGGUUAAUUGAUGGGGUUAGCGCAAGCGAAGCUCUUGAUCGAAGCCCCGGUAAACGGCGGCCGUAACUAUAACGGUCCUAAGGUAGCGAAAUUCCUUGUCGGGUAAGUUCCGACCUGCACGAAUGGCGUAACGAUGGCGGCGCUGUCUCCACCCGAGACUCAGUGAAAUUGAAAUCGCUGUGAAGAUGCAGUGUAUCCGCGGCUAGACGGAAAGACCCCGUGAACCUUUACUGUAGCUUUGCACUGGACUUUGAGCCUGCUUGUGUAGGAUAGGUGGGAGGCUUUGAAGCGUGGACGCCAGUUCGCGUGGAGCCAUCCUUGAAAUACCACCCUGGCAUGCUUGAGGUUCUAACUCUGGUCCGUGAUCCGGAUCGAGGACAGUGUAUGGUGGGCAGUUUGACUGGGGCGGUCUCCUCCUAAAGAGUAACGGAGGAGUACGAAGGUGCGCUCAGACCGGUCGGAAAUCGGUCGCAGAGUAUAAAGGCAAAAGCGCGCUUGACUGCGAGACAGACACGUCGAGCAGGUACGAAAGUAGGUCUUAGUGAUCCGGUGGUUCUGUAUGGAAGGGCCAUCGCUCAACGGAUAAAAGGUACUCCGGGGAUAACAGGCUGAUACCGCCCAAGAGUUCAUAUCGACGGCGGUGUUUGGCACCUCGAUGUCGGCUCAUCACAUCCUGGGGCUGAAGCCGGUCCCAAGGGUAUGGCUGUUCGCCAUUUAAAGUGGUACGCGAGCUGGGUUUAGAACGUCGUGAGACAGUUCGGUCCCUAUCUGCCGUGGACGUUUGAGAUUUGAGAGGGGCUGCUCCUAGUACGAGAGGACCGGAGUGGACGAACCUCUGGUGUUCCGGUUGUCACGCCAGUGGCAUUGCCGGGUAGCUAUGUUCGGAAAAGAUAACCGCUGAAAGCAUCUAAGCGGGAAACUUGCCUCAAGAUGAGAUCUCACUGGGAACUUGAUUCCCCUGAAGGGCCGUCGAAGACUACGACGUUGAUAGGCUGGGUGUGUAAGCGUUGUGAGGCGUUGAGCUAACCAGUACUAAUUGCCCGUGAGGCUUGACC
rnacentral:rRNA from 1 species